rnacentral:rRNA from 1 species
AACGACGCUGGCGGCAGGCCUAACACAUGCAAGUCGAACGCUGUAGCAAUACAGAGUGGCAGACGGGUGAGUAACACGUGGGAACGUACCCUUCGGUUCGGAAUAACUCAGGGAAACUUGAGCUAAUACCGGAUACGUCCGAGAGGAGAAAGAUUUAUCGCCGAAGGAUCGGCCCGCGUCUGAUUAGCUUGUUGGUGAGGUAACGGCUCACCAAGGCGACGAUCAGUAGCUGGUCUGAGAGGAUGAUCAGCCACAUUGGGACUGAGACACGGCCCAAACUCCUACGGGAGGCAGCAGUGGGGAAUAUUGGACAAUGGGCGCAAGCCUGAUCCAGCCAUGCCGCGUGAGUGAUGAAGGCCCUAGGGUUGUAAAGCUCUUUUACUCGGGAAGAUAAUGACGGUACCGAGAGAAUAAGCCCCGGCUAACUUCGUG